UGAGUAACGCGUGGGUAACCUACCCCAAAGUCCGGGAUAACAGCGGGAAACCGCUGCUAAUACCGGAUGUCUUUACCUUGGGGCAUCUUGAGGUAAAGAAAGGUAACGCUUUGGGAUGGGCCCGCGUCCCAUUAGCUAGUUGGUGAGGUAACGGCUCACCAAGGCGACGAUGGGUAGCCGGCCUGAGAGGGUGGACGGCCACACUGGGACUGAGACACGGCCCAGACUCCUACGGGAGGCAGCAGUAGGGAAUAUUGCGCAAUGGACGGAAGUCUGACGCAGCGACGCCGCGUGAGCGAUGAAGGUCUUCGGAUCGUAAAGCUCUGUCCUUGGGGAAGAAGGCGAAAGCUUGACGGUACCCAAGAAGAAAGCCCCGGCUAACUACGUGCCAGCAGCCGCGGUAAUACGUAGGGGGCGAGCGUUGUCCGGAAUUACUGGGCGUAAAGGGUGCGUAGGCGGCCCUUUAAGUCAGAUGUGAA
rnacentral:rRNA from 1 species